CAUGUCUUUUUGAUUUUUAUAAAAAGUCUGACCUGCCCUAUGAGUUAUUAAAUGGCUGCGGUACUCUGACCGUGCAAAGGUAGCAUAAUAAUUAGUUUUUUAAUUGGGAACUGGUAUGAAUGGUUUGACGAGAAAAAGACUGUCUCAGUUUAAUUUAAAUUAGAAUUUUAUUUUUAAGUAAAAAAGCUUAAAUAUACUUAAAAGACGAGAAGACCCUAUAGAAUUUUAUAUUUUUUUAUAAUUUUGAAAGUUGAAGAAUUUAAGAUUCAAUUUUAUAAAAACAUAUUUGGUUGGGGCAACUAAAAAAUUGAAUAAACUUUUUUUACAAUAAAAACAUUGAUAUAUGAGUAAGUGAUCCAUAAUUUAUGAUUAUAAGAUUAAAUUACCUUAGGGAUAACAGCGUAAUUCUUUUUUAGAGUUCGUAUCGAAAAAAGAGUUUGCGACC
rnacentral:rRNA from 1 species